rnacentral:tRNA from 3 species
GGAGGGUGAAGCGCCAAGGCGGCGCGUGCGUUUGAUAGUCGCAUCGUCCGGGAUGGUCUCUCGGAUGGAGUUCGAGUCUCCCGCCCUCCGCCA